AGAUCCUCAGCAUCAAGUUACUACUGCCGAUGCAAGAAGUAAGGGCUUGGUCCAGGAAGGAACUAGUUCAGGAAGGCUUCUUCGAUCUGGUAUCGUCAUAACUCAUAGAAGGCCUCGAGAAAAAUGGCAACAACGGGAAGAUCGGUAUCGGCGCCAGCAGGAAGAUUAUCGACGGGAAGAAGAAAGACGCCGACAGGAGUGGAAUCGGCACAGGGAUCAUUGGAAUUGUCCAUUCUUCAUCCAUUGUUGGGAGGAAAAUAUCAAGCUUCCUACUGUCAGAGACUACCCUGAGUGCAACGGUUAUGAUCGGUAUGAUAGGAUCGAUCGGCAUUAUCAUGAUGAUGAACGGCGAUUUAAUGGGCCGAUCAGAGGAAGGGUGUCAGUUCAUGACCGGCUGGGGGGCAGAUUUAGUGGGCACAACAGACUUAGU
rnacentral:lncRNA from 1 species